GAUGAAGAACGUAGUGAAAUGCGAUAAGUAAUGUGAAUUGCAGAAUUCAGUGAAUCAUCGAAUCUUUGAACGCACAUUGCGCCCCUUGGUAUUCCGAGGGGCAUGCCUGUUCGAGCGUCAUUAUAACCCCUCAAGCUCAGCUUGGUGUUGGGGCCUGCUGCACUGGCAGCCCUUAAAAUCAGUGGCGGCGCCAUCUGGCUCUAAGCGUAGUAAUUCUUCUCGCUCUGGAGGUCCGGUCGUGUGCUCGCCAGCAACCCCCAAUUUUUUUCAGGUUGACCUCGGAUCAGGUAGGGAUACCCGCUGAACUUAAGCAUAUCAAUAAGCGGAGGA
rnacentral:misc_RNA from 1 species